CGUUUUUCUGUUUUCUGCUGCCGAAGAAAGUUCCUGGAAAGAAGGUCGUGGUGUGGUGGCCGAGAAAUGGGAGUACGACUUUCUACCUGCAAAUCUACUCACAAAGAAAAUGGCUAUUUCCUCCCUUGUUUUCCACCAUCUAUGCAAAUGUCAGCUGUCUUCACGCUUAGGGAUCUUUCGAAGCAAAUCUAAUCCAUUAUUCAUGAUUCUAAAGGUGGAUUACAUUGAGGCUUGUCCUUGAAGGCUUGCUGCCUUUAAAUACCUUCGGUUUCCACUGUAUUCAAGUGUAUUCAAGGCCACAA